rnacentral:rRNA from 1 species
UGGGGAAUAUUGCACAAUGGGGGGAACCCUGAUGCAGCAACGCCGCGUGAGUGAAGAAGUAUUUCGGUAUGUAAAGCUCUAUCAGCAGGGAAGAAAAUGACGGUACCUGACUAAGAAGCUCCGGCUAAAUACGUGCCAGCAGCCGCGGUAAUACGUAUGGAGCAAGCGUUAUCCGGAUUUACUGGGUGUAAAGGGAGCGCAGGCGGCGGUGCAAGUCUGAUGUGAAAACCCGGGGCCCAACCCCGGGAGUGCAUUGGAAACUGCAUGGCUAGAGUGUCGGAGAGGUAAGUGGAAUUCCUAGUGUAGCGGUGAAAUGCGUAGAUAUUAGGAGGAACACCAGUGGCGAAGGCGGCUUACUGGACGAUAACUGACGCUGAGGCUCGAAAGCGUGGGGAGCAAACAGG